UUUCUAGUGCAGCUGAAGAUCAUGGACUACAGCCUUCUACUGGGCAUCCACGACAUCAUUCGGGGCUCUGAACCGGAGGAAGAGGGGCCUGUGAGGGAGGAGGAGUCAGAGUGGGAUGGGGACUGUAACCUGACUGGACCUCCUGCUCUGGUAGGCUCCUAUGGCACCUCCCCUGAGGGCAUUGGAGGCUACAUUCAUUCCCACCGGCCCCUGGGCCCAGGAGAGUUUGAGUCCUUCAUCGAUGUCUAUGCUAUCCGGAGUGCUGAGGGUGAGAAGGAGCCUGGAAAUGUUAGGGGGGUGAUGGGGGUCCUUGGGAGACAGAGACCAGGGUGGUGGAUGGAGAAACCCCGCUUAGCUUUUCACAACAAAAUUGUCUCCUGGGGAGAAGGAACUGGGACUGUUGU
rnacentral:lncRNA from 1 species